rnacentral:rRNA from 1 species
CGAGCCUACGGGGCGCAGCAGUAGGGAAUCUUCCACAAUGGGCGAAAGCCUGAUGGAGCAACGCCGCGUGGGUGAAGAAGGUCUUCGGAUCGUAAACCUCUUUUGUCAGGGAACAAAGGCGGGGACGUGUCCCCGGAUGAGUGUACCUGAAGAAAAAGCAUCGGCUAACUCCGUGCCAGCAGCCGCGGUAAUACGGAGGAUGCGAGCGUUAUCCGGAUUUAUUGGGUUUAAAGGGUGCGCAGGCGGGCUGUUAAGUCAGCGGUCAAAGCCCGGGGCUCAACCCCGGCCCGCCGUUGAAACUGGCA